CCCUUAGAUGUUCUGGGCCGCACGCGCGCUACACUGUUCGACGCAGCGAGUCUUAACCUUGACCGAAAGGUUUGGGUAAUCUUCAGCAAAGUCGAACGUGAUGGGGAUCGAUCAUUGCAAUUAUUGAUCGUGAACGAGGAAUUCCUAGUAAGUGCAAGUCAUCAGCUUGCGCUGAUUACGUCCCUGCCCUUUGUACACACCGCCCGUCGCUACUACCGAUUGAAUGGUUUAGUGAGAUCUCUGGAUUGACGCUGGCUAGGGGGCGACCCCUGGCCAGGCUGUCGAGAAACUGCUCAAACUUGAUCAUUUAGAGGAAGUAAAAGUCGUAACA
rnacentral:rRNA from 1 species